UACGAAUUUGCUUGAAUGGGUUGAUGCUGGCUACGUUCUGUAGUAAGUGUGCUCACCCGGCUCAACAAAAUCCAUUCACACCUGUGAACUUAUUCAUUUCAUUUACAAACAUGAUUAUUAUUGAUGAACGUUAUAUGGGUUAUAUUAUUAUAAUACAACUUUCAACAACGGAUCUCUUGGCUCUCGCAUCGAUGAAGAACGCAGCGAAAUGCGAUAAGUAAUGUGAAUUGCAGAAUUCAGUGAAUCAUCGAAUCUUUGAACGCACCUUGCGCUCCCUGGUAUUCCGGGGAGCAUGCCUGUUUGAGUGUCGUGAAUAUCUCAAUCAAUAAUUUUAUUAUUAUUGACUUGGAUUUGGAGGUCUUUUGCUGGUUUACUUAAUUAACCGGCUCCUCUUGAAUGUAUUAGCUCGGAGAUUGCUUCAGAGUGGUUCACGGUGUGAUAGAUUAUCUACACCCUGGUAAAUUCAUUCCAGUCUGAGUUGUAUGGCAAUGUACCGGCUUCGAAUCUGUUUCCUUUAAUGGACACUUAAUGAAUCUGACCUCAAAUCAGGUAGGACUACCCGCUGAACUUAAGCAUAUCAAUAAGCGGAGGAAAAGAAACUAACAAGGAUUCCCCUAGUAACUGCGAGUGAAGCGGGAAAAGCUCAAAUUUAAAAUCUGGCAGCCUUGGCUGUCCGAGUUGUAAUCUGGAGAAGCAUUUUCGGUGCAGGACCGUGUACAAGUCUCUUGGAAUGGAGCAUCAUAGAGGGUGAGAAUCCCGUCUUUGACAUGGACUACCUGUGCUUUGUGAUAUGCUCUCAAAGAGUCGAGUUGUUUGGGAAUGCAGCUCAAAAUGGGUGGUAAAUUCCAUCUAAAGCUAAAUAUUGGCGAGAGACCGAUAGCGAACAAGUACCGUGAGGGAAAGAUGAAAAGCACUUUGGAAAGAGAGUUAAACAGUACGUGAAAUUGUUGAAAGGGAAACGCUUGAAGUCAGCCGCGUUGGCUAGGAUUCAGCUGGGCUUCUUAGCUUAGUGUACUUCCUUGUUAACGGGUCAACAUCAAUUUCAGUCAGUGGAUAAGGGUAAGGGGAAUGUGGCACCUCCGGGUGUGUUAUAGCCUCUUACCGUAUACACUUACUGGGAUUGAGGUCUGCAGCAACU
rnacentral:rRNA from 1 species